rnacentral:lncRNA from 1 species
AUGGACACGGCUGUCCUCCCACAACCCCCCACACUGACGGUCACACACAGAUUUCUGACCCUCAUCCCCUUUAACGGAGUACCGGACCCCGACACGAGUGUAUGCUUGGCACCUACAUUUCGGGUGGUGGGGGAAACUGAGGUUCACAGAGGUCCAACACCACAUCCUUGGGGGACCAUAACGCUUGGUUCCCAGCCUGGCAGCCUAUUGUCCAGCACCUCUGGCUGUGAGGCCAAGGAGAGGCCUACACGGUGCGUCCUGACAGUUUCAGUUGUGUUUCUUACUGAGGAAUCCAAUCCUUGUCAGGCAUUAGAAAUUUAAUCAGAGUUGAAGAGCAAAUCUCAGCACGUCUCUAA